rnacentral:rRNA from 1 species
UGGGGAAUAUUGCACAAUGGACGCAAGCCUGAUGCAGCCAUGCCGCGUGUGUGAAGAAGGCCUUCGGGUUGUAAAGCACUUUCAGCGGGGAGGAAGGCGGUGAGGUUAAUAACCUCACCGAUUGACGUUACCCGCAGAAGAAGCACCGGCUAACUCCGUGCCAGCAGCCGCGGUAAUACGGAGGGUGCAAGCGUUAAUCGGAAUUACUGGGCGUAAAGCGCACGCAGGCGGUCUGUCAAGUCGGAUGUGAAAUCCCCGGGCUCAACCUGGGAACUGCAUUCGAAACUGGCAGGCUAGAGUCUUGUAGAGGGGGGUAGAAUUCCAGGUGUAGCGGUGAAAUGCGUAGAGAUCUGGAGGAAUACCGGUGGCGAAGGCGGCCCCCUGGACAAAGACUGACGCUCAGGUGCGAAAGCGUGGGGAGCAAACAGG